AAGUAGCGUCUCUGCAGUGCUGUUCUCCAGCUCCACUCUGGCUGUACAGACAUCCUGGCUCAGCCCGUGCCUCCCUGCAGAGGUGCUGUGGCUGCCCAUUCUGGUUCCAGAGACUCCUUGCUGCUGCUGCUGCCUAUAUGUAGGUUCUGGUAGAUAAACACCCAGGCACUUGACAAACACCACUCUCACCCUUUCAGAGCUUUUCCUUCUCUACUGUAAAGCAGCUCGGGAGCUCAAUAAGCUGUAUCCUGGAAAAACACAUUGCAGGAAACGGUCUCCUGACCAGCCACCCAAGUUGCUCUGCCAACUGUCAUCCUCCCUUGCAGAAAGAGGAAUGCGAUGGAGUCGGCAACUUGAUGAAGAAUUAACAGCCUCUGCCAGCAUGCUCUAAUUAAACAGCUAUAUAGACAACAGCUGUGAAAAAUUCAUCAAUCAUAGAAUGUUUAUUAUUGGAAUUAAAAUGUCUCAUAACUAAUGCAUAGAUUUACAUUGAUUAACAACUCCUAGAAGGAACAAUCUGUGUCUUACAGCUUACUGUGGACAUUUUGAAUGUCUGUAUCACUUGCACUGUCAACAGUCUGCCUCUGGUUAGUUGACUGUAGUUAAAAGGUUUACCAGCUUCUUUGCAGCAGAUUAGGAUCUACAGCUGUAGAACUGCAACCCUGAACACUUCAAAAGAAGUCUAAAUUCCUGUCAACAUAUGGGCUGUUGGAUGUUCCAGUAUACCAGUCUUCUAGGCAUGUGGACAAGACUCUAGUUUUCACACUUGAAGUAAUGCAGCAAAGAAUAAUCUUACUGCAUCAACUUAAAAACCACAUGGAGCUCAGAAAUAAGAUCAUAAUAAGUUGCCCUUAUACCAGUAUAUGUUGCAGUCAAGCUUCUAAACCACCAUACCGUAUGUAUAGAAUAAGAGUCAUUAAGGUUGAAAAAGCCCUCUAAAAUCAUCUAAUCCAACCAUCAACCCAUCCCCACCAUGCCUGUUAAUCCGUGUCCCUCAGUGUCACAUUUACCAUUUUCUUGAAAAUGUCCAGGGACUGUGACCCCACCGCCUCCCUGGGCAGCCUAUGCAAAUGCCUCACCGCUCUUGCUGAGAGGAAAUUUUUCCUAACGUUCAACCUAAACCUCCCCUGUGCAACUUAAGGCCAUCACCUCUUGUCCUAUCACUGUUACCUAGGAGAAGAGGGUGACACCCCAAACCUCCUUUCAGGGAAUUGCAGAGAACAAUAACGUCUCUCCUGAUCCUUGUAAUUUGGAGACAGUGCAAGGCCUAAAGUCCCCCUUAAGUCUUCAACGUUUGUCAUGUUCUGGCUAGAACCUAUUGCAUAAGUGGAACAAACUUUCAAGUUAGAGCUCUAAUACAGCAUCAUUCUCCCUGAAGCAUGAAACUUGCAGGAAAAAAGCAAGCAAGAGAUUAACUCCAAGGUUCUGAACCCAUGAUGAGGUCUCUUGCUAUCUUCAGUGAUCAAGAAAUAGUACUUCCAGAGUUGUGUGCUCAGUAAAUGCUUUUCCUCAUCUAGGGAGAAAUAAAUACUUGAAAUAUUCAGUGGCACUGACAGAGUUUGGAAGUUAUAUUUGAAAAAAAAAAAUUAAGAAAUUAGAAAACUUUAAUGGAGAAAAGAUGUUAUUUUAAUUUUUGAAUAGAUAAAAUACAUGGAAUGAAAGCUUGGAAUGCUUUUGUGGUACGUUAU
rnacentral:lncRNA from 7 species